rfam:Stereum hirsutum FP-91666 SS1 unplaced genomic scaffold STEHIscaffold_9, whole genome shotgun sequence.
GCCCUCGUUGUCUAAUGGUCAUGACGUCAGACUUCUAAUCUGGAGGUUGCAAGUUCGAGUCUUGCCGUGGGUG